rnacentral:rRNA from 1 species
CUACGGGGGGCUCCAGUGAGGAAUAUUGCACAAUGGGGGGAACCCUGAUGCAGCAACGCCGCGUGGAGGAUGACGCAUUUCGGUGUGUAAACUCCUUUUAUAUGUCAAGAAAAUGACGGUAGCAUAUGAAUAAGCGCCGGCUAACUCCGUGCCAGCAGCCGCGGUAAUACGAAGGGCGCAAGCGUUACUCGGAAUCACUGGGCGUAAAGGACGCGUAGGCGGGUUGAAAAGUCAGGUGUGAAAGCCUACAGCUUAACUGUAGAACUGCACUUGAAACUCUCAAUCUAGAGUAUGGGAGGGGCAGAUGGAAUUAGUGGUGUAGGGGUAAAAUCCGUAGAUAUCACUAGGAAUACCUAAAGCGAAGGCGAUCUGCUGGAACAUUACUGACGCUAAGGCGUGAAAGCGUGGGGGGCAAACAGGAUUAGAUACCCCGGUAGUC